rnacentral:rRNA from 1 species
UGGGGAAUAUUGGACAAUGGGCGCAAGCCUGAUCCAGCCAUGCCGCGUGGGUGAUGAAGGCCUUAGGGUUGUAAAGCCCUUUCGGCGGGGAAGAUAAUGACGGUACCCGCAGAAGAAGCCCCGGCUAACUUCGUGCCAGCAGCCGCGGUAAUACGAAGGGGGCUAGCGUUGCUCGGAAUUACUGGGCGUAAAGCGCACGUAGGCGGCUUGUUAAGUCGGGGGUGAAAUCCCGGAGCUCAACUCCGGAACUGCCUUCGAUACUGGCAAGCUCGAGUCCGGGAGAGGUGAGUGGAACUGCGAGUGUAGAGGUGAAAUUCGUAGAUAUUCGCAAGAACACCAGUGGCGAAGGCGGCUCACUGGCCCGGUACUGACGCUGAGGUGCGAAAGCGUGGGGAGCAAAC